UUUAUUUGAUGGCCACCUAAUAAUUGUCAUUAGGUGCAUAUACCCUUGGGGGACCAUAUAUAGGAUAUUCUAUUUAAUAUUGAAACAACUUUUUAUUUCUUUUUGGUUUGGUAGAGAGAUGGAGAGCCUAGCUAGCUAGCUAGCCAUGAUAGCCACUUGAGAUUUUCUUUAAGAUCCCCCACUUGAUAGCUUUCUAUGUUGAUAUAUCAUGGAUCAUGCCCCAUGUAGGUGAAAUGAAUUGAAUUCAUCUACUUUGCUAUUGAGAGAGAUUAAUGACGAUGAUGAUGAUGUAUGGGAGAAAGAAAGAAAGGAAAGCGAUGUUGGUGAGGUUCAAUCCGAAGACGGAUUUACAUGGUAUAAUCCAGUAAAAUACGAUCUCAGAUUGAGCCACGCCAAUAUCACUUUUUCAUUUAUAUCCAUAUUCAUCAUCAUCAUAACAUCGAUUCUCUCCUCUCACAAUAUUAUUCCCUUCUCAUAUCCAUAUGGAUAUAUGUGUAUAUAUCCAUCUUGAUUAAUAUUCUAUAUAUACUUAUUGCAAACAAUUAUUUCCUUCUUUGAAUCAAUCUUGAUAGAAGUUCUAGCUGCUGGUGCUAAUUGCAAACAAGAUCAGUGCAGUGAGCAUGGAAAUGAAAAUCAAGGUCGAGAAAUUCGAGUAAUCAAGAGAGCAGGUUGAUCUCAUCAUUGGAUUCACGAUUCAAGGUGGUUGAUACUCAUGCUUAUAAGGCAGGACUAAGAGAGUAUGGUUUGAAGGUAAUAAACCUUUGUAUUUCAUGACCAUGAAUGGAAGUGAGGUAUGGGUGACACCUAUGCCUGCUUACUACAUUGUAUAGUAGUUUUCGUGAUAGUAGAUGUUCUACUCUGCUAAUCACCGAUGGUUAAUUUGCCAGGCAAUAGAUGCAAGUGCAAAAUGAAACUUGGGCAAUUGAUUAAUCCUAGUUGUGAUCGUAAUUGUUAAACAGAAAAGGUGAAUAUACAUGUAUUGUUAUUGGUGUUUUCUUUUAUUUUAAAUAUUAUUGCAUCUUU